rnacentral:rRNA from 1 species
AUGAGAGUCCAACAUAUGUCAGCUCCAGCAGCUCACCAUACAAAAAGAAAGAAAGAACAACCUCUAAACUCAAGGAGUACAAAGCGGACAAGGACUGGAGAGGGAAGAAGAAACACAAACACAAACACAGAGGAUCCUAAACAAUUCAGAAAGGCUAAUGCUAAAGACGAUAAGGAAUUGAAGCGCGCAAGAAGCGAUACCAACAGAAACAACAUUAGAGUCAAUGUUGGAGACAACAACAGAACCAGAACCUCGACAAGUGUUAAUAGCAAGCCAUGGAACUUCGGAAGGCCAACAUACAAAUGCCAAUAUGCAAAGCAUUGCUAUGGUGUGAGGAAAGAUUAA